AUGUUGGCUGAAGGUUUUCUCAGAGUGCUGCGUUACAGGGAGGAGAGAAAGUUUGCCUCUGCUUCCAAGCUGAAGAGAUCGCAGACACACACUCAUUGUGUGGAUCCAUCCAACUGUGUUCUCUCUGACUCAAACUCUACAGGCCUACAGACAGAUUCAGCUGAAUCAGGUCCAGACCAGGAAGAACUAGACACCAACAAAUUCCAGGGACUGAAAGUGGUGCCUCAAGGUCCCGUAGGCCUAUCAAUCCCUGGGUGUCCACAUCUCCUCACUCUGGACCCUGACUUUGCAGUUUGCUUAGACAAUUGCAGCCUCCUGGAACAGUAUCCAGACUUGCAGGUGGCUGACACAGGCCGCAUCUCAAACAACCCACUGAGAACCAUCCUCGCCCAGCCCGGUUUUGCCAGUGAUGCCUGCCAUCAACCAGAAUGGGCAGCCCAACAGGAGCCACUAGGCGUUUCAAUACCAGACCAGGGUUAUCUGGUUAUGGGGGACAGUGUAAAUAUCAGCUUGGAUCUACCCGGAUCAGGGUUGGAGCCCAUGUCUAACUCUGUGCUGAAUGGACUGCUGGACAAACAGUUGGAGGAAGUGUACAUGCAACAUCUAACUGAUAACUUGGCUCGGUGUAACUCCCACCUGGGAAACAGCCUCCUGCACGGCCUGGUGCCUCCGCCACAGCCCAGCAGCCAGCCACAGGGGCUCGAUUCACUGGUGGCCAGUCUGGGAGAAGGAUCAGGAGGGGACAGCGACAAGAAGAUUAGUUAUCUGAACACCCAGAACUUAGUUCCCUGCUCAUCCAACUUCAGCUCCCCAGUGCUGAGGAUUUCAGAGGCUGACAAUACAUUGAAUAUGAUGCUCAACUAGUAACAACUAUUUUGCUUCUGCACUAGUCACAUGCAACUGAGACAUGACAACAAGUGCAUUUCAGUUAAUGAAUGGAUGCUUUUAUUUUUGUUUACAUAUAUUUUUUAUACAAUGUCUGUUUUUACUUAAAAUAAAAUGAUCUGCUGUCAUGCGCCAUCUGCUGUUAGAUUUUAGUACUACACCAUCCUGAAUUUACCUGACAUACAUAAGAAUUUAUUUCAUUGACCUUAUUACUGUGUGUGUGUGUGUGUGUGUGUGUGUGUGUGUGUGUGUGUGUGUGUGUGUGUGUGUGUGUGUGUGUGUGUGUAUUUAUUAUACCGAAGCAAACUGUAAUCCUGUGUAAGCUUAUAUUGCACAUUGAAGUUACCUUGUAAAAAGAGACAUAACCUGUUGUAAAAGAAUCCAUCUGGUCUAAAGGAAGUAAAAUAAAUAAUCAUUAAAUGAGGAUUCCAGUCAACAAAUAAGUAGUAAUUUUUUUUUUUUUUGUUUUUGAGUGCAUUUGAUUUUAAUUCUGUUGUUUUCAUUUGCUGGCAAUUCUUUUUGGUCUUAAAUCCUUUCUUUUGGCAAAAGAAGGGACAUUUUUAAUAUCGCACAUGUAUUCUUUUAAGUGAUAAGUCUCCUAAUAAUGUUUAGAGAGAUGCAUUAAAAACAUUGAAUGGUAAAGUAAAGUGGGUUAUUUAUAUAUAUUAUAUUAUAUAUUAAUAUUGACUCUAUUAUGAGAUCAUAACAGCAUCUGCAUUUACAAUGUAUGUCAUUUACUUGACAUGAAAGGACUUGACGUGAAUACUUAUGUUUUGUUUUGUUUGUUUUGUUUGUCUCCAAAUCAGUUAAGACAAACAGGGGCGAUGAAACACAAAUAUAAUAAUAUUUAUAAAAUAAUAACAUUAUAAAAGGUGUUUGUUGAGAUUUUCAGAGUGUAAUUUUGGGGUAUUUUUAGGAUAGUUUUGUUUUUUGUUAUAUUGGGGAUGAUAGAAUACAAAUUUGACUCAAAAUUACAUAUGGUUUGUAACUGUAACAUUAUGGUGUGCAGAAAGCAAAAGGCAAAAGUACUUUUAUUACUCAGGAUUCUGUGUGGUUAUAUAUGCUAUCUAUAAAAUAAUGACAGAAGACAUUCUUGCCAUUAUAUGUAAACCAGAGAUCAACGACAACCCCUCUGACAAAGAGAGCUGUGUCUAUAUCAGACUUAUCAGGCUACAGCAGAAAUAACCAAUGAAACUUGAGCUAAAGCAUAAAUGUAAAUAAUAUUUAAAGUAUCACCAAAAUAUCUCAAUAUUGGAACCUGGUAUCACUCUCAAAUUAACAUACAUGUGUUUUAAAAGUUAUGAAGGUUUUCUUAUACAGUAUACGGCUUAUUUAACAAGUUACCAAGCUUUUUUGUCUGGAGUUGGCAUGAAUCCUCUGAAGUCCACAUUCAUUUCUUACUGCAGUCCAAUAUAUGCAAGUCAGGGGUUUGUAGAAACAAGUUCAUACCUCACAUCACUUGGUCUUUCUGUAUGAAACCUACGAAGGACAUGACCAGUCUGUCCAUGUGUCCAAGUUGUCUUUUACUGACUAUAACAAAUGGUAGAGAUUAUGAAUGAAUAAAAAUG
ensembl:lncRNA